GGUCUAUUGAGGACUGAUACCAGCCGUUGUCGUCACGUCAGCCACAGAAUUCAAGGAUUGCAUCGACCAGAAAAUAUGGAGAGAAAGUUUGCUGUGGUACAGUGGAUUGAAGGGGAAGAUUCAGGGAAGUUCAGUGAUGUGAAAACUGAUGCUAUAAGGAGUUAUGAUGAUUCCAAAAUGGACCAAGAUGGAAAUCCAAUUUCCCCCUACUCAGCCUUUAUUGAGUGGCGCCACGGAAAGAAGCCAAAGGGAGGGUGGCCUCACUAUAAAGGAGAUGUGCUUUUUGUUAGUGGUACCCGCUUUGAAAACACCUGUAAAUUAAACUCUCUGCUGCAAGAGGUGGAAAGACCACAGCUGACCAAAAGGGUGU